ensembl:processed_transcript
GACUCCAGAGUCGUGCUAACUGGAAGUAGAGUGGGCUGGAAAUCUUAAAGAGAGGCGACAAGACUGACUCCAGAAGCACAGGUCCGGGAACUGACAGAGACUCGCAGUCUAAAGCAGAUUGCCCUGUCGUGAAGAAACCCCUUCGGAAGACCCGAAGCAACGGUCUUCCUGCAGAGAGCAGAAAAUGGCUCAUGACCAGCCUCUGCUGGUUGUGCAGGAGGCCCUGAGGAAGUGCUUCCCUGUGGUGGAGGAACAGCAGGACCUGUGGCAGAGCACCCUGCAGGACUGCUCGCCCCUCCUGUCCUCUCUCAGUAACCUGGCUGAGCAGCUGCAAGCUGCACAGAGUCUGCGCUUUGAGGAUGUGCCAGCCCUGCGUCCCUUUCCAGACUUACAGGAGCGGUUGAGGCGCAAGCAGCUGGAGGCUGGUGACGUUGUCCUGGACAAGCUAGCUGAGAGGCUGUAAGAGGCUCUGUUGUCCCCCUUUGUUGAUGGACAGAUCUUAAUGCCGCAUGGCAUCCCAUGCCUCAGUCAGGGGGUCCUACAGAAAUCGACAAAAGCAAGUCAGGAGUAAUCAUGCUGGAGCUAAGUUGAAUGUCUGUGAGUUCGAGGCCAGCCUGGACUACAUUGUAAGACCAUGCAUGUCUUGAAAACAAAACAAAACGACCCAAGUCAGGCCAGGUGUUUAAUCUCAGCACUAAGGAGGCAGAUACAAGCAGAUCUCUGAGUUCAAGGCCAGUCUGGUCUACAUAGAGAGUUCCAAGGCAACCAGGGCUACACAGAUAAACCCAGUCUCAAAAUAAAUAAGUAAGUAAACAAACAAAUAAAUAAAAAUAACCCCAAACCAACUAAAUAAAUGGAAGAAAUUACAAAAGCAGAAAAGAAGAGUGUGGCAAGGAGUGCAGCCCUCUUCUGUCGUUGUCCUUGGUGUACUGCAGUUCAGGGAGAGCUGGGAGUAAGGACUGUGUGUCCGGGACCUUGUACACCUCUGCCUAUACCUGUCUAUGCAUUUGGAAGCAAGAAAAGGGAAACUCAAACUGAUUGGCCUGAUCACAGAGCCAGUGAGAAAUAGAGCCAGGAAUCUGAAGCGGGCCUGCCACUUAAGCUGGAGCUUCUCACCACCACCUGGUUUUACACACAAGUGGAUACAUGUGAAACUGAGUAGCCCGAGAAACAGUAACAACACAGGUGUUACACAG